UACGGAGGGUGCAAGCGUUAUCCGGAUUCACUGGGUUUAAAGGGUGCGUAGGUGGGCCUGUAAGUCAGCGGUGAAAUCUCCGGGCUUAACCCGGAAACUGCCAUUGAUACUAUAGGUCUUGAAUUAUCUGGAGGUAAGCGGAGUAUGUCAUGUAGCGGUGAAAUGCUUAGAUAUGACAUAGAACACCAAUUGCGAAGGCAGCUUACUACGGAUAUAUUGACACUGAGGCACGAAAGCGUGGGGAUCAAACAGG
rnacentral:rRNA from 1 species